CACGGGUGAGUAACACGUAUGCAAUCCACCUGUAACAGGGGGAUAACCCGGAGAAAUCCGGACUAAUACCCCAUAAUAUGGGCGCUCCGCAUGGAGAGUCCAUUAAAGAGAGCAAUCUUGGUUACAGACGAGCAUGCGCUCCAUUAGCCAGUUGGCGGGGUAACGGCCCACCAAGGCGACGAUGGAUAGGGGUUCUGAGAGGAAGGUCCCCCACAUUGGAACUGAGACACGGUCCAA
rnacentral:rRNA from 1 species